rnacentral:rRNA from 1 species
GAUGAACGCUGGCGGCGUGCCUAACACAUGCAAGUCGAGCGAUUUUCUUCGGAAGAGAGCGGCGGACGGGUGAGUAACGCGUGGGUAACCUGCCUCAUACACAUGGAUAACAUACCGAAAGGUAUGCUAAUACAAGAUGAUAUAAGAGAUUCGCAUGGAUUUCUUAUCAAAGCUCCGGCGGUAUGAGAUGGACCCGCGUCUGAUUAGCUAGUUGGUAAGGUAACGGCUUACCAAGGCGACGAUCAGUAGCCGACCUGAGAGGGUGAUCGGCCACAUUGGAACUGAGACACGGUCCAAACUCCUACGGGAGGCAGCAGUGGGGAAUAUUGCACAAUGGGCGAAAGCCUGAUGCAGCAACGCCGCGUGAGCGAUGAAGGCCUUCGGGUCGUAAAGCUCUGUCCUCAAGGAAGAUAAUGACGGUACUUGAGGAGGAAGCCCCGGCUAACUACGUGCCAGCAGCCGCGGUAAUACGUAGGGGGCUAGCGUUAUCCGGAUUUACUGGGCGUAAAGGGUGCGUAGGUGGUUUCUUAAGUCAGGAGUGAAAGGCUACGGCUCAACCGUAGUAAGCUCUUGAAACUGGGAAACUUGAGUGCAGGAGAGGAAAGUGGAAUUCCUAGUGUAGCGGUGAAAUGCGUAGAUAUUAGGA